UACGGGGGGAGCAAGCGUUGUUCGGAUUUACUGGGCGUAAAGGGCGCGUAGGCGGCGCAACAAGUCACUUGUGAAAUCUCCGGGCUUAACCCGGAGCGGUCAAGUGAUACUGUCGUGCUAGAGUGCGGAAGGGGCUACUGGAAUUCUCGGUGUAGCGGUGAAAUGCGUAGAUAUCGAGAGGAACACCUGCGGCGAAGGCGGGUAGCUGGGCCGACACUGACGCUGGAGGCGCGAAAGCUAGGGGAGCGAACGGG
rnacentral:rRNA from 1 species